GAUGAAGAACGCAGCGAAAUGCGAUAAGUAAUGUGAAUUGCAGAAUUCAGUGAAUCAUCGAAUCUUUGAACGCACCUUGCGCCCUUUGGCCAUUCCGAAGGGCAUGCCUGUUUGAGUAUCAUGAACACCUCAACUCUUCAUGGUUUUCCGUGAUGAGCUUGGACUUUGGGGGUCUUGCUGGCCUAUGGUCAGCUCCUCUAAAAUAAAUCAGCUUGCCAGUGUUUGGUGGGUAUCACAGGUGUGAUAACUAUCUACGCUUGUGGUUUUCCACCAGGUAACCUUCAGCAGUGGAGGUUCGCUGGAGCUCGCAGAUGUGUCUCUCCUCAGUGAGGACAGCUCUUUGAAUGUUUGAUCUCAAAUCAGGUAGGACUACCCGCUGAACUUAAGCAUAUCAAUAAGCGGAGGA
rnacentral:misc_RNA from 1 species